rnacentral:misc_RNA from 1 species
UGUUGGGGAAAUAUGGUAGGAGAAAAGCCUGUUGACCAAUUCAAAUCUCUUGCUUUAGGUGAUGAUAGGGGUUGUGGUUUGAAGGUUGAUGGGAAAGUUGUUUGUUGGGGUGAAAAUGGUUUUAGUCUACCUUCAAAUUUGAGUGAUAUAUCUUUUGAAACAUUAGAAGCAAAACAAGAUAUUUUUUGUGGCAUUGAGACCUCAAAUUAUUCAUUGUUCUGUUGGGGAAAUGAGAUUUUCAAUUCAAAUCCAGUAGUCUAUGAUGGUGUACAAGUUGUUCCAGGACCAUGUACCACUUCAUGUCCUUGUGCACCUUUAGGUAACUAUG